AGUGAACGCUGGCGGUAGGCCUAACACAUGCAAGUCGAACGGCAGCACAGUAAGAGCUUGCUCUUACGGGUGGCGAGUGGCGGACGGGUGAGGAAUACAUCGGAAUCUACUUUUUCGUGGGGGAUAACGUAGGGAAACUUACGCUAAUACCGCAUACGACCUACGGGUGAAAGCAGGGGAUCUUCGGACCUUGCGCGAUUGAAUGAGCCGAUGUCGGAUUAGCUAGUUGGCGGGGUAAAGGCCCACCAAGGCGACGAUCCGUAGCUGGUCUGAGAGGAUGAUCAGCCACCCUGGAACUGAGGCACGGUCCAGACUCCUACGGGAGGCAGCAGUGGGGAAUAUUGGACGAUGGGCGCAAGCCUGAUCCAGCCAUACCGCGUGGGUGAAGAAGGCCUUCGGGUUGUAAAGCCCUUUUGUUGGGAAAGAAAAGCAGCAGGUUAAUACCCCGCUGUUCUGACGGUACCCAAAGAAUAAGCACCGGCUAACUUCGUG
rnacentral:rRNA from 1 species